rnacentral:misc_RNA from 1 species
UUCGAGAUGGCGGGGUUCUGCGCAGCUAAAAGGCCACUCCAGUUCCAGCGCGGUGCGCAUGCGCGAACGGUCGAGUGUAUUUCUGGACAAACGAUCCAGUGGAAUUGGAACAGGAACGGUCGUGAAUCAGGACUGGCACGAGCUAGAGGUGGCAAUAAACGCAAGAUGGCGGGUACGCGAUGAAACGGUGUUACGCCGUGGAUGGAUCAUUGUCAAUUUUUCACGGACAGCGCGUCCGUUCUGUGUGAUAUUCGCGUUGGUAUGGGGCCGGGGGCGUUUCUACAUGUGCCGCGUGCUGAUAAACGACGCGCGUGCCUUUCGUGAUUCCGCGAAUCGCUGAGGAGAAACAUUCGCGAGCAAGCACCGAACGCGAGACAGGACGAAACGUGUGUGCGCGCUCAGUGAAAGUAAACAAACGGUAUGAGUGCUGUACUGGGUAGUGUCGGUGACCCGGGCGGUCUCUUGGACCCCGACGUUGAGAGCAUCCUCGAGGAGAAGAAUCAAUUGAUCAGCCGGCAAUAUGCAGAGAUCGAGCGGUUGCAACGUGAGCUCACGGAGGUCAUCGGUGAACGGGACGCCCUGCUCUGCGAGGUGUCAAAAUUCAAGUUUGAGCGCGAGAUGACCGACCUGACGCGUCUACUCGAUGACAGCUUCCCUCAGAAAAUGGAGAGGCCAUCGCAGCAUGCCGCGAACGUGAACCAGGUGCACAGCAGCGGCAUGCACGGGGUGUACUCGUCCGGCAGCCAAACAUCCCUGACGACGUCGUACAUCACGGGCCAGUCAUAUGUUCAGAAUCAGAAUUACGCCCACGGUCCGUACAACUCGUCGUCCAAUGUGCGGGUGUACGCUCAUGCGGGGUACAAUCAGCCCCAAAGCUACGGCACCAUGGUGCAGGGCUACGGCGGUCAACCUCAGGCAACAGGGUAUCAACAAAAUCACCUUAAAAAAGGACCUGUACGUAACGGAGACGUGCUGAAGAGAUGUCGCCUUCAGACUGCGUACGAGCUGUCUCAGGACCUCCUAGACAAGCAGAUCGAGAUGUUAGAGCGAAAAUACGGCGGUGUGAAGGCCAGGAACGCGGCGCUGACCAUCCAACGCGCGUUCCGAAGAUACACACUGCUGAAGAAGUUCGCGGCGAUCACCGCGAUGGCAAAGGCGGAGAAGAGGCUCAGCAGGAAGCUGCAGGAGACGGAUCGAGCGACGGGCAUGAACGAGCACGAGAAGAUGGCCUACCACAGUCAGAUUUAUAUCCAGCAGCCUCAGACCGCGAACAGACCCAUGCCCAUCAGGAGCAUGUCCCUCAGAGAGAGGAGGCACGCGGAGAACUCGCAGUCGCCGAUACCCAGAAGUCAGAGCGGCAGGUGCGAGGUUCAGGUCACGGGUCAUCAGCACGCGAAUCAUAAUAUUCAUCAGAGCGGCAGACACACGCCCUCCUUGGCGCCCAGUCCUUGCAACAGACAUCAGCAGCUUCCUCCCAGUCCGUGCUGGGAGUCCAGCUCCCAGGAAAGCGGCUCUAGCAUCCAUUAUUACAACCCACAGGAAGCCCUUUGUGGCAUCAGACAAGAGACACCUCCGCGGGACUUGCUUCGAACGCCGUGCACGUCGCCGUCGACGCCUCACAAUCUCCAAACACCGAUCCCUCAAAACUGGAGCAAUACCAGUCAUCUGGGCUCCGCCGGGCGAACGAGAGGAUCCGCGAAAAAGGUCCCGCCGGAAGUGCCAAAAAGAACGUCUUCCAUUACGUCCAGGUCCAUGGAACCGCGUCACAAUGGUUUGAGCAAGAGCGUCGAGAACGGUAGCCUGAGCUCGGUCCAGAGCUCUGGCAGCGAUUCCACUAAUUGCGAGAGCUCAGAGGGAGACGCUCAAAGAGGAUCACCUGUGUGGAAGCAUAAAGGAAUCUCAAGCUCGCCGGAACAUCAGGAAUGCGCGAAUCACGCGACAGACUCAGCCACCAUGAUGAACAGCGUAAAAGAUAUGGGUCAUUCACACGCCAGCUCCGGUUACCAGCUUCCAUUGAUGGACCAUCAAGAGAGUAUACCACAAACGAGCUACAAAGUAUCGGAGACCGUCAGAAAACGUCAAUACAGAGUAGGCCUAAAUCUGUUCAACAAGAAGCCCGAACGGGGAAUCAGUUAUCUGAUCAGACGAGGAUUCUUGGAGAACAGUCCGCAGGGUGUAGCCAGAUUCUUGAUCAGCAGAAAAGGAUUGUCCAAGCAGAUGAUAGGAGAGUACCUUGGGAACUUGCAGAACCCCUUCAACAUGGCUGUGCUUGAAUGCUUCUCCCACGAGCUGGAUCUGUCUGGAAUGCAAGUGGACGUAGCCCUAAGGAAAUUCCAAGCAUACUUCCGGAUGCCUGGCGAAGCCCAGAAGAUAGAACGACUGAUGGAGAUCUUCAGUCAACGUUAUUGCCAAUGCAAUCCAGACGUGGUGUCCAGGCUACGUUCAGCAGACACCGUCUUCGUCUUGGCGUUUGCUAUAAUCAUGCUGAACACAGAUUUACAUACUCCAAACCUGAAGCCGGAACGCAGGAUGAGGUUGGAAGACUUCAUCAAGAAUCUCAGAGGCAUAGACGACUGCGGGGAUAUUGACAGAGACAUAUUAAUGGGCAUCUACGAGAGAGUGAAGGAGAACGAAUUUAAGCCUGGAUCUGAUCACGUUUCCCAAGUGAUGAAGGUUCAAGCGACGAUAGUGGGCAAGAAGCCUAACAUGGCGUUGCCGCACAGAAGAUUAGUCUGCUAUUGCAGGCUGUACGAGAUCCCAGAUAUACACAAAAAGGAGAGACCAGGUGUUCAUCAACGAGAAGUGUUCCUCUUUAAUGAUCUUCUCGUUGUGACCAAGAUCUUGAGCAAGAAGAAGAACAGUGUCACCUAUACCUUCAGACAGAGCUUCCCACUUUGCGGAAUGGUCGUCACCCUGUUUGAAGUUCCACAUUAUCCGUACGGAAUUAGACUCUCCCAACGCGUGGAUGGAAAGGUUUUGGUCACAUUCAACGCGAGGAACGCGCACGACAGGUGCAAGUUCGUGGAGGAUCUCAGGGAAUCUAUCAGCGAAAUGGACGAAAUGGAGACCUUACGGAUUGAGACAGAAUUAGAACGACAGAAGAGCAGUAGAAGCGCCAGAGGAGGCGCAGAGAACCGGGAUUCUGGAGUAGCGGAUGUGGAGAUAUGUCCUUGCCCAGGUCCCUGCUCGGAGAGGUCAGAAACCACCGACACGGACACGCAAUUGAAACGCUCUGCUCUUAGUAACUCGCUCCUGGAUAUACAUGAGCAGUUUGCCGGUGAGAAACCACAACGACGUGGAAGCGUGGGCUCCCUAGAUAGCGGUAUGUCGAUUUCUUUUCAAUCUACAUCUGCCAGCUCAAUGAGCCAAGGCAUUAAACAUCCUGGACAUCCUAUACAUCCAGGGGCUACGAUCCCUGGUGGUGCUAAGGGACUGGCUCAGCAGCCAUCUUUUUUAGGGGGUCUCUUCGCCAAACGGGAACGAAAGCUUUCGCAAUCGGAGGAAUCAGGCCCCUACAGUCGCACCACGGAAGUAUAAUAUAUCCUUCCGGUGCUAUUUAACUGAUAACAGACCAAAUCGGAUUCCUACAAGGGGACGAGCACUGAUUAAUUAUCUAUCGAACGCGUAACUCAGAACUUCUUGAAAAGUGUAUACCAUUGGCGUAGCUAAAGGCGGACCUGGCCUUCCAUAGGUCCUCUUUCCAAUCCCUAAAUUCCCAAAUUUAAAAAUUGAUCAUAGUGGAUAUAAAGCGUUAAUAAUAGAGAACCCAAAGAUCUCAUUAACCCCGAGAAUAGUCACGCCACUGACCUGUACUUGUACCAUUCUUUAUUUCAGACUUUGGUGUUAUGGUAUGAAAAAAUUGAUAGUAGUAGUUUGAAAAGUAGUAGUAAAAUUUGAAGCCAAUGGUUCGUGCAGUCCCUUUGUUGGAUAAGACUCCUCUUGCUUUCCUCGACUUCUGAGAAAGCGAAGCACAUUUAACAUUGCACACGAACAGAAAGUACAACGCAGUUUGAAACUGGAAGGAAGAGCGAAAGUUACCCUAGGUUAAAAAUGAAACAUAGAAAGAAGUGCUUCGAGAAAUGAGCGAAGAAAGUUGGAAGGUAACAAGAUGUAAAUUUAUGAGAUUGGGCAGGAUCCAAUCGCUAUCAGUCCAAGAAGAGGAUUUGGCAAGACCCUGCUGGCACAUGUAUAAUAUUUAUUCAUCCAAAAAAGAAGUCGGAUACGUUUUCUUUCGUAUGGUAUUUAUAUAUUAUAAUUUCUAAUGGUGGGUCAAACUCGCGCCGAUCUGCGUUGUGUAUGUAGAUAAUAAUCGUUUUGUUCGCCGCUAAGAAUGAACCGGUUUUUAAGCAGGUUAUGUUAAGAAAGGAUAUUCUUAACGUAACGUGAGACAAAAAAAUGGAUAAAGCGGUUCAUGGAGAGUGGCUCUCGAGUAAUGUCGUGUUUUUUGCAAGUGUCGUCGACGUAGUUAUACUUGAACGAUUGUACAUAAUAGGUAUAUAACGAUAAUUGUAUGAUUACAAUAACUCUGUAACAAAACGUAGCCUAAGGAAACGAUAAGCAAUCCCUUUCAAUGUUAGGUGCAUGUUGAUGUCUAACAAACUUUUUAGUAUCACAGCAAUGGAAAUUUGAAUGUAGCAGUCUUGUAAGUAUUAACAUUUCGAAGGAAAGAGGAAAAGAAAGAAAUGUUUUUUUCAUUGUUGCGGUACAUUUGUAAUCAUCUGCAAGUUCUGGUAGUUCUGCUUGUGUGUUUGAAGUUGAACAGUUUCUUCAUUUCCUGUUUCCAAAACAGCGUAUUAAACGAAAAGUGAUAGGAAUUAGUUGGUUUCUCGUCUCGUAGCAUGUAGACAACUUUCAAGAUCACUUUAAUAAUGUUAUAAGGAUGAACGCGGGUGAACCGUAAGACAACUUGUAUGCCUUAUAUACUGCCACAAUUUUAUCAUUCGGGGAUGAGAAACUAAUUAAUCACUUUGCGAAUUAGAUAGUAGAGAAUUUUCAAACGCUGCGGAAUUACAUCGGAAAAUUUGGAUAUCUUGUAUAUAUCAGCGGUCGCAAUACGAAGUAAUAGUAAUAAAAAUAUAUAUAUAUAUAUAUAUACAUAUAUAUAUAUUCAUUAAUUUCAAUUCAAAGUGACUAAUCAACGGAGUUUCAUACACUGUACAUUACAAUUCAUUUCGGACCUUGGGAGUUUCUUUGUACCCUCAUAACGUUUUAUAUAAACAAAUUUAUUUUCAUAGUUCUUGAAAUUCACUUUUUUGCACUGCUGUCGAGCACUCUAACAUCUGUUUCCAAAUUGUAUUCUCUUAACCAAUUAUUUAACCCUUCGGCUGCUGUGAACAACUGCUUAUUUAACAGAAGUCUUCAAAGAAUACUCAUUCUUAAAAUAAAUAGAAUAGGGCAGCUAAGAAUUUAUACAUUUUAUCUUCCACGUUAACUCUUGGCUAUUCGUUGUCCUAUAAAUGAAAAGUCACUGUGCGUAGAGUUCAAUUGUUAUAAAAUUGUAAAAAUAUUUGAUUGUAUUCUUGAGGACAAAUCUUGCAAGGACUACACAUGUCUUUGGCAGCUGAGGGAUAACUUGAAUAACUGUUGGCAAAGUGUUUGCCAUGGACGUACAUAUGCUCCCAUUGAUCCGUAACAAUCUGUAGUCUUCAGCGUUAUUAAUUCUAGUCUUUCUCAUCAGGAGAAUUCUCCAGUAUGCUGUAAUAUCGCGAAAGAAACAAUUCCAUAAAACGUCAGGACAAACCUUGAUGUAGCUCGUAAGGAUGUGGAUACAAUAAAGAAUGUGAGAUCAACCAUAACUUAGGAUCGCGUCAAUUUGUGUGACGAAUAAGUGAAUUGCUCGUUCGGAUUACCGGAAUAUAUGUCAACUUAUGGAAAUGCUUCUGUGAUAAUCUUCUUACGAAUGAAAAAUAAGAAAAGACUGAUUAAGAAGACCAUGUUCUAAGUCGCCUGUUUACAGAGAAGUUCACGAGAAAGUAAAAUCCAUGUUCGUAGACACUCUCGCGACUCGUCCUUCCCUUCUGAUUCCUAUAUCGUACAUUCUAUGAAGAUUUUUAUAAAAGUCGAUCGGUUUCCAAUUUUUGGACGAGGACGAUAAGAAACACCAAACCCUUUUUAAUCAAACACUCAUGAAUCCACGUUUUCCAAAAUUGAACACACUUUUCUUACCCUUUAAAUAAAUUCAAUCCUUAGAAUUCCUUGCACUCUUAUAUAUAAUAAAUAAAAUUUUCAUUGGAUAUUGCAAGAAUAUAAAAUACAUUUUAUCAGUACAAAAAUAGAGAUGUAAAUUCGACAAUUAUUCGAAAAUAACGAGAAGAAGAACAGAAAAACUGAUUGUACGACAUCGAAGCAAUACAACGUUGUGAAACAUAAUUACAUACAGUUCGAUUUGACGCGAUCUUCGAAAAUGAAUUGCGACACGCGUACCAAUCGUGUCGAUAAAACUUGGCGCAUUCGAUAAAAAUUUGAUGAGAAAGUAAAUCACUACGUUAUUAUUAAGAGAUAACAAUCGCUCCCCUUUGUUAAUCUAACGAAAGCUGUAUGCACAUUGUGUUAAUAAAGAACUAUGAGUCUGAAACGAGUAAACUAA